rnacentral:tRNA from 1 species
GGAGAGAUGGCCGAGCGGUCCAAGACGCUGGUUUAAAGCACCAGUCCCUUCGGGGGCGUGGGUUCGAAUCCCACUCUCUUCA